UACCUGCAGCUCGAGUGGUAACCGCUAUUAUUGGGCCUAAAGCGUCCGUAGCCGGUUUGGUAAAUAUCUGGGUAAAUCGUGAGGCUUAACUUCACGAAUUUCGGAUAGACUGCCAGACUUGGGAUCGGGGGAGGUCAGAGGUACUCCAGGGGUAGCGGUGAAAUGUUGUAAUCCUUGGAGGACCAUCGGUAGCGAAGGCGUCUGACUAGAACGAGUCCGACGGUGAGGGACGAAGCCCUGGGGCGCAAACCGGAUUAGAUACCCGGGUAGUCCAGGGUGUAAACGAUGUGGGCUUUGGAUUGGAGGUCCCACGUGGGCGUCCAGUGCAGAAGAGAAGUUGUUAAGCCCACCGCCUGGGAAGUACGGUCGCAAGGCUGAAACUUAAAGGAAUUGGCGGGGGAGCACAGCAACGGGAGGAGCGUGCGGUUU
rnacentral:rRNA from 1 species